UUUAUCUACAUGCAAUAAUGCUUUUUCAGGACUGAAGUAACUAUGAAUUAAAACAUAAACCAAACCAUCAAAAACUGCAGUAGGAGUGUGUGGCAGAAUGCACCCUGUGUUGGGAUACCCUCCGAGACCUCUUUCUACUCAGCUUCCAAGAACUCAGUUCGACUCCAACCUUCGUCACUCAGUUUCUCUUUCUUAAGAUACCUAAAUGGCACUCCUGGUCUUCUGUGUUCCUGAUCUGCCUGAGCCUUCCCCGAGAAUCUCUCGCCCUUGGGGCCAGAUUCCACCAAAGGAGAUUAAUGGAUCCGGGUUGAGUCAUGGCACCACUUAUGUUUGGAUUCCCUCCGAGACCUCCUUCUACUAGUCUUCCCAAGAACUCAGUUCGGCUCCAGAUUUCGUCACUCAGGUCUCUCCUUCUCCCUUCCUGUUACAGACAUACAGUUCUCUGUCAUACAGCCAGGAUCAUAACCGAACUGUGUCAUUGGAUGGUUAGUAUUCCGUGAUUCUUUCAGCUCUCUCCUGGACAGAUUUUUCUGCUCCACCAGUGACCCAAACAGCAGCUGACAUUUAACAAGUUUUUGGCAGCAUCUGCAAUUUUUGACUUAUUCAGCUGUAGAGCUAUCAGGAGAUAAAGCUUUCCUGGGGGCUGGUCUGAGACUGUGGAAUGAAUGUCACCAGGAACGAAGGAUCAUCACAAACCUGACCAUCUUCUGUUCCAACUGCAAGGCUCAUUGCCGUCUCUAACAAAUUUAUAGCAACGCACAGUAUAAACCUACUGAAACAAGACAUUCCACUGCACAUGCUUCUCCCCCUGGGAAGGAUUAGAGGAUACACACGUGACAGAUGUUAGUCAUGUUGCUUAAUGCCUUACUAGAAGGCACUGAUACCAGAGUGAUAAAUGUGGUAUAAGAACCUAUCUAGAAUAGAAUAGUGUGUUGGCAAAUUCAGUAGGUGACAUUUCUCUGAGUUAGAACUGAACUGGUUAUCCAGCAUGAUAUGAAGGGGCAAGUCUGCUAUUGGAGGGUUGGUUUCAUAUCAAACUUAAAACAGAUUUCAUGGCAUUUUGUGGAGAAAUAUUAAUUCCAGUUUACUGGGUAAAUUUCACUAGAGCUAAUUACAUUGUGUGCAAUUACAAACUGAAUAAUGUUUGUGAUUUUCUAAAUUGUGGUGUAGUAUUGUGUGCUGUAUAACAAUAGGUGUGUUUUAUACUAGAGGUGACUGCAACUUUAUAUUGUAUACAAAAAACUAUGUUAAAAGAACAUUAAGGCAGCAAAGUCAAACACUCAAAAGUUAAGAAAUGGCUGAAUUAAGGUAGUCUGUGCUGUCUCAGUGCCAGUCUCCUUAAUCACGAAAAAGCACAUCCUUGACCCAAAAGCUAGCUCUCUGCCACAUUUAAAGGCCCUGUCUAAAGGAUCUGAGAUAGAGCCUCUCAAAGAAAAGCGCAGAACAGAGUAUUUUUCUCUAGCCUUAUUUCUGAAAAUAUCCAAACUCUUGGCUGAAAUUUUAAAAAAACAAUUCAGCUGAAAGAUGACACCCAGCCUGGAAAAAGGUCAGCCCCGAUAGUUAAAAUCUGACAAAAUGAUAAACUGAAAAUGUCAGUCAAAUAAUAGGAGGAGCUACCAGCCCUGCCUAUAGUGUGUGUAUGCUAAAGUGCUGAGCCUCUUUUUCACUGAAAGGCACCAAACUUAUAGUAGUUUCAGUAUUACUGCUAUUACUUCUUAGCCUGGAUCAACACAUUUUCAUUAGAGGUGCUGUUUCUUACAAUACCUUAAUUCCAUUGAAGCCAGUCCUAGUGAAUAGCUGUUGUUUUGAAUGGAAUCAGUACAGCAGUUGAUAUGGCCCUCUCUAUAUGAAGGAAAAGGAAGGGGGACAGUUUUCUGCCAUCAGUACAAAGAGACAGGAAUUUACAGGAUAAAAGCAUCUUAAUGUUACUGAAGGGAAGUAUUUGAUCAUUAAGAUAGUACACAGUUUAGUUUAAUAGUCACAGUUAGACUCAAUUAUAUGUUUUCCUCCCUUCUGUUCCCC